UAGGGAAUAUUGGUAAUCUGGGAAACCGGGAACCAGCAACGCCGCGUGCGCGAUGAAGGCCUUCGGGUUGUAAAGCGCUUUUUGAGAGGAUGAGGAAGGACAGUACUCUUAGAAUAAGCCUCGGCUAACUACGUGCCAGCAGCCGCGGUAAAACGUAGGAGGCUAGCGUUAUCCGGAUUUACUGGGCGUAAAGCGCGUGCAGGUGGUUUCGUAAGUUGGAUGUGAAAGCUCCUAGCUUAACUGGGAGAGGUCGUUCAAGACUGCGGGACUAGAGAGUGGUAGAGGGAGGUGGAAUUCCGGGUGUAGCGGUGGAAUGCGCAGAUAUCCGGAGGAACACCAGUGGCGAAAGCGGCCUCCUGGACCACUCCUGACACUCAGACGCGAAAGCUAGGGUAGCAAACG
rnacentral:rRNA from 1 species